UCCUCAAGCCGGCACCUUUUACAUCAGCUUCCAGAACAACCUUGAGUCCUGCUCUGUGAUUCCAGAUCCCUGCUUGGAUUUACUUUGGGCAACGUGGUUGGAAUGUAUCUGGCCCAGAACUACGACAUGCCAAACCUGGCUAAAAAACUUGAAGAGAUUAAAAAGGACCUGGAAGCCAAGAAGAAGCCCCCUAGUUCCUGAUGCCCACCUGGCACUGUAUUCUGGACCCACCAAUUCCGUCCCGGGGCCUGCCUUCUUCACAGCCACAUCCAAAGCUGUGUUCCUCUUU
rnacentral:lncRNA from 1 species